CCUACGGGAGGCAGCAGUGGGGAAUCUUGCGCAAUGGGCGAAAGCCUGACGCAGCCAUGCCGCGUGAAUGAUGAAGGUCUUAGGAUUGUAAAAUUCUUUCACCGGGGACGAUAAUGACGGUACCCGGAGAAGAAGCCCCGGCUAACUUCGUGCCAGCAGCCGCGGUAAUACGAAGGGGGCUAGCGUUGCUCGGAAUUACUGGGCGUAAAGGGAGCGUAGGCGGAUAGUUUAGUCAGAGGUGAAAGCCCAGGGCUCAACCUUGGAAUUGCCUUUGAUACUGGCUAUCUUGAGUACGGAAGAGGUAUGUGGAACUCCGAGUGUAGAGGUGAAAUUCGUAGAUAUUCGGAAGAACACCAGUGGCGAAGGCGACAUACUGGUCCGUUACUGACGCUGAGGCUCGAAAGCGUGGGGAGCAAACAGGAUUAGAUACCCUGGUAGUCCACGCUGUAAACGAUGAGUGCUAGUUGUCGGCAUGCAUGCAUGUCGGUGACGCAGCUACGCAUAAGACACUCCGCCGUCGGGGAGGUACGGUCGCGAAGAAUUAAACGUACGAAGAAGUAGUACGCGNGAGAGAGCGACGGACGACGACGAGGGAGGAGG
rnacentral:rRNA from 1 species